UACGUAGGGGGCAAGCGUUGUCCGGAUUUAUUGGGCGUAAAGAGCGUGUAGGCGGCCAGGUAGGUCUGCUGUGAAAACUCGAGGCUCAACCUCGAGACGCCGGCGGAAACCAUCUGGCUAGAGUCCGGAAGAGGAAAGCGGAAUACCUGGUGUAGAGGUGAAAUUCGUAGAUAUCAGGUGGAACACCAGUGGCGAAGGCGGCUUUCUGGACGGUAACUGACGCUGAGGCGCGAAAGCGUGGGGAGCAAACAGG
rnacentral:rRNA from 1 species